GAUGAAGAACGCAGCGAAAUGCGAUACGUAGUGUGAAUUGCAGAAUUCAGUGAAUCAUCGAAUCUUUGAACGCACAUUGCGCCCGCUGGUAUUCCGGCGGGCAUGCCUGUUCGAGCGUCAUUUCAACCCUCAAGCCCCCGGGUUUGGUGUUGGGGAUCGGCUCUGCCCUUCUGGGCGGUGCCGCCCCCGAAAUACAUUGGCGGUCUCGCUGCAGCCUCCAUUGCGUAGUAGCUAACACCUCGCAACUGGAACGCGGCGCGGCCAUGCCGUAAAACCCCAACUUCUGAAUGUUGACCUCGGAUCAGGUAGGAAUACCCGCUGAACUUAAGCAUAUCAAUAAGCGGAGGA
rnacentral:misc_RNA from 1 species